GUCAGCUCGUGUUGUGAAAUGUUGGGUUAAGUCCCGCAACGAGCGCAACCCUUAUCCUUGUUUGCCAGCGAGUAAUGUCGGGAACUCCAGGGAGACUGCCGGUGAUAAACCGGAGGAAGGUGGGGACGACGUCAAGUCAUCAUGGCCCUUACGAGUAGGGCUACACACGUGCUACAAUGGCGCAUACAGAGGGCGGCAAACUUGCGAGAGUAAGCGAAUCCCAAAAAGUGCGUCGUAGUCCGGAUUGGAGUCUGCAACUCGACUCCAUGAAGUCGGAAUCGCUAGUAAUCGUAGAUCAGAAUGCUACGGUGAAUACGUUCCCGGGCCUUGUACACACCGCCCGUCACACCAUGGGAGUGGGCUGCAAAAGAAGUGGGUAGUUUAACCUUUCGGGGAGGACGCUCACCACUUUGUGGUUCAUGACUGGGGUGAAGUCGUAACAAGGUAGCCCUAGGGGAACCUGGGGCUGGAUCACCUCCUUAUACGAAGAUA
rnacentral:rRNA from 1 species